UACUCUAUGCAAGUAGGCAUAGGGGAAGAGGAUUGUUGUCAACACCUCCAGGAUUAUUCUUGUGAGUUGUGGAU
rnacentral:sRNA from 12 species